rnacentral:rRNA from 1 species
AACGAACGCUGGCGGCAUGCCUAACACAUGCAAGUCGAACGAGACCUUCGGGUCUAGUGGCGCACGGGUGCGUAACGCGUGGGAACCUGCCCUUAGGUUCGGAAUAACUCCCCGAAAGGGGUGCUAAUACCGGAUAAUGUCUUCGGACCAAAGAUUUAUCGCCUUUGGAUGGGCCCGCGUUUGAUUAGCUAGUUGGUAGGGUAACAGCCUACCAAGGCGACGAUCCAUAGCUGGUCUGAGAGGAUGAUCAGCCACACUGGGCCUGAGACACGGCCCAGACUCCUACGGGAGGCAGCAGUGGGGAAUAUUGGACAAUGGGCGAAAGCCUGAUCCAGCAAUGCCGCGUGAGUGAUGAAGGCCUUAGGGUUGUAAAGCUCUUUGACCCGGGAUGAUAAUGACAGUACCGGGAGAAUAAGCUCCGGCUAACUCCGUG